rnacentral:lncRNA from 1 species
AAUCAACGCGUGAGGUUGAGUCAACAAUUUUGACUCCCUUGGCCAUGUUGACUAGGUCAAUGCCUUUUUUGGCCUUCACAUGGCUAUGAGUCAAUUAUUAUUCAUGCUUCAUUUGUAUCUAUUUGCUCCUUUUUUUUGCAUUAGCUUUUUCUUGUUUAUUUUAGUGGGCCUUUAGCCCACUUUCUUUCAUUCACAUAUCACUCUUAAUUAUCA